UUACAUCAGUCCAUGCGGUUGAUUCUAUAAUAAUUAUUAUAUCAUUAAUAUUUCAUACAAGAGAUUCUUAUUACACUAAUGAAUGAAAAAAAUGCAUAUUUUAAUUCUUAUCAGUGAUAAUGCUUGUACCAUGAUCAUGCUCGCUUUUAUAAUAUUCCAUUGAUAAAUGAUUUUAAAAAUAAUAAAUAUAUUUUUAUUUUGAAACUCUUAUCCUUAUUUCAAUAAUUAUUGGUUUUUAGAAGUUAUUAUAUCAUCGUUUUGAAACGUAAGUUCAGCAGUACAAAUAAUUCAUUUUGACUAAUUUCUUGACUGCAUUCAAAACAGCUGUUCACUAUCAUAAACAAAGUUGUAACCUCUAAAUUUGAUGGUUGACUAUAAACAAUUAUUUACAAAUUAUUUGCAAUAAAUUAUAAUUUUCAAUAAAUAAUUCUCCUAAAAUUUGCUGUAUAGAACAGUGCUCUUAUCUCAGUCUCAGCUGUUGAUAAGUAUAAUCUUCAUUGCUAUCAGGUCACUGAAUGCAUAUGGAUGGCUUGUUCUGCAAAUAUACCACAUUACUUCUCAAAUUCAUAACAGAAUAAGAGAAUUUUAUUUCUAAACCUUUGAAAGUAUAUGAUAUUUCAAAUCAUACACCUGUAACAAAAUUGAGGUUAUUGAUAAUUUAGUGUGAAGUGAUCUGUCAUAUUAUCGUGUCUAACGUGUGCAGAAAAAGAGGCUGUUCAAACUAAAAUUGGAAAACGAAUAUUGUUCAAGAACGUCUGUUCUCUUCCACUGAUUCUUAAACAGGUAAAGGUUGGUUUCUAUCCAUUGUUGGAAUUGCUACAUCAAGAGGUAAUUGCAAGGCUUCGAAUUAUUCUAGAAAGGAACUUUACUAUGUACUCUUCUUCUCAGUCAAAACAAUAGUUUACUAUGAGAAAGUAAAACUGUUGAUAAACUCAUCUUUUGAAGAGGAA